GAGUCACUGAGACGAUUCUAAAUCCUCAGGCCGGUCAUGUGACUCAACAUGGCGUCAUCAUGACGUGUAAUCGCGCACCUGUAGAAUAAACAGAUUUGGUCUUCAGUCUUCACGACUUCAUUUCUGGUAUAUAGUCCUGCAUCAUGUUCCUGGCAGUCUUUGAGUCCCCAGAGUGAUGGUGUGAACCGGCACAGUGCACACGGGACAAAGAAGAGGCCUGUGGCCCACCUGAGUGUGAUUGAAGUCUCUCCUCUACAGGAGAUGGUGUCUCCUUGCCCUCCCAUCGAAUCAAUCUGUUUAUCUAAGGCCCGGUGCUCAUGGCACAUACAUUUGUGUUGGUCAAAAUGAAAAGAAAGUGUGAAAGAGAGUGGGACUGGCCUCUCCAGAUGCCUGGCAGUGGCAUGGAACAAAUUAACAUAAAUGUCAUUGUCAGAAUGAAAUGAAGACAAAAUCUGGGCCUGCGAGCAAGCUGUGCUACCAGCUGAUGACAAGACGUUUGACCUCAGUUGAAAAGCUCCGGGUAAACAAGUCAUCGCAAGCGUCCCCCCUUCAGUUCCAAACAGCUUGUGUCCCAUCAGUACGUGUGUUUUGCCAGGAUGGAUGACAGGAAAACAGUCUCACCUUGUGUUCAUAAUAGAAACAGAGUACAUAGUGACCAGGUGUGCGGUAAUGGGAUGCAUUGCUGAUUCUUACAAUCACACAGAGAUCCCAGCAGGCAUGUGUCGAAACAGCUCCGCCUCGUCUUAUCCGUUUACUUCGCUUAGUGUAGUGUAUGGCUGUAAGAAUAUGAAUGCUUCUGGUCUUCACUUCCUACUUGAGCCCAGCAGGCAACAGCCCAAACAAAGUGACAAUAAGCCAUCUGUCGUACAAGCGUCGACUGCUGCACAGUCUCCAGUGCCUCCGGAGCUCCUUACUGGGGGAUAUUAGCAGGGUUAAACAGUCGGUAGGAAGGAAAGCUCUUGGAAAGCACAGCCAUAUGCUGCUUCUGCUUAACUGCACAGUCAAUGAAAGCUUGCGUGAAAUUCUUUUCUGUGAAGAUGUUAUGCUUUUGGUAUCCAUUUUUAAGGAAAUCAUCAGGUGAUGAUUAGGUUGGGAACAUGUGAUUUGAUUAAUAAACGUCAAAGCAUAUGUAACGGUAAUUUUGUAGGAACCCUCAUCAAGUUUGUGAGGCUUCUCAUCUGUGUGACAGUUAUCAGCCUUUUUCUCCAUUUUAUGUCACCAAUCACCUUUAGCUAGAGCGUAUUUAAAAAGCCAUUGAUCUUUAAAAUGCAGUGCUUUAAUAUGACAGUAACAGUUGUACGUGACGCAGGAAGUCAAACUGUGGAGAUUGAUGAGGGCUUGCACGUGAAUUAUAAUCCAUCUACCUGAGUGAUGCCUGCAUUGUGUUCCAUACCAGCAGGCCGACAAAUAAAUAAAACCCACAAAGGUGACACUAGGAAUUGAUACUUAACAAUCCCUCUGAGCAACAAGCACUAGAAGUGGCUUUGACUGAGAGGAAAACUCCCCCGGAGAGACAGAGAGCGACAGAGAAAUGGCAAAGCUAGGAAGGUUAAUGGGAAAGAAUGGACUGGAUUUGCCAAAGGUCACACAUACAGAGUCAGCACCUUGUUUAUGAUUAGAAGAGGUCUGAGCACAGCUUGUGUUUGAGCGGCUUAAUAAAGCGCUUUAAAUGACUAUUGAUUCAUGGUUCGGAAAGACAACUGUGAAUCUACUAUGAGGUGAUUACCUAUGUUAGCAUAAGAUCCAGCGUAUUUAAUCCUUAAUGAGAGGCUGUAUGGUAAAGUGUGGUCGCAGAGGUUGAUCCUAUCCUUUUUAAUUGGCCUGAGGACAUAUAUUUCAUCAUAAUAAAUAAUGUUGUAUCUUCUAAUUUCUAAAAUUGUAGUCGGUCAUGAGAUGUUUGAAGACAAAUUGUGAAUUUUAAUGGCCGGUGCACCAUCUCUUAUGCAAAUUGACUGUAGAAUUAAUUGAUUCGAUCCAAUUUCCAGAUCCUUAACUAGAUUGUGGGAUUACUAACUAAAUCUGGAAUGUGAUGUAUGUAUGGUGUCCUGUGGGCCGUGUGGUGCAAGGCCUUAACUUGCUGUUCUGCCAAUUUUUCAAAAAUUCCCAAGAAUUUAUUUGGAGCGUAGGCCAUAAUCUCAUUCCCUUCGCUGAAACGGGAUGUGAAUAUGAUGAGCAACUGAUGAGAGUCUGUUAGUGCACUCAGUCUAGGUUAGUGCUAUGGAUCAAUGCGUGACCCUAUUGGGAAAAAAAUGGGAAUUUGGCAGAAUUGACCUUUAGAUGAAAAUAAAUGGAAUUAGAGCAAAUAAAAAGAAAGCAAUAUCCAGUUAGACUGGUAAAAUUGCAAAGUGUAUGAGUAUAAUUACUUGAUGUAAGUAAUGAGGUUGCAUAGUUGUAAUGAUGAUUUCCUCGUGAAGAUAUUGAUACUGAUAGGUUGCUGUGGAGAAAGUGUGGCAUGGUGUGCUUUUGUUCAAGUAUGCAUGUGUUUGUGCACUCUAGCAUUCAUAAAGUCGUAGAAUUUAUAUGCUACCCUCCGUAUUUUGUUAUAUUUAUCAGUGAAACUCAGAUCUACUUAUUUGGCUGAUUCAGCAAUAUACAUUAAAACAGAAACCUGUUUUUAUUCUAUAUGUAUUGUGAACUUU